CUGUGCAGUACAUUCCAAUUUGAGCAGCCUGGGGGCAGGCGGGUAGAGGUUAACAUAGUGACUGAACAGAAGUUAAGCAAGAAGUAGAAGAAAAUGAGCCGUAAUACAGAGGAUUCGAGCCUGCCUGGGUGAGGCUCCAUUCAGCACAAUGGAACAGUUACUACUUCCUCCCGUUAAAUCUUAAUACCACAGCAAAGUUGACAUGGAGAGCAAACUGAAGACCAAGUGAGGUUGAACGAGCCUGACCUGACUUGACCCCUAGGAUCAAGGCUAGACUGAAGCCGUGAGCACCCGGCAGAUUAAUGAGUUGAUGUCCCUUCAACUUGUUAGUUUUGAAAUAUUUGUUCAACACUUAUCUGGUAUUCCAUGG
ensembl:lncRNA